AAAUUGCCACGCCCCCUGGCCUGGGGCGGGACCCACGCUGAGGCGCUCCAGCCCUGGUUCUCGCCGGGCGUGUGGCGGCCAAGUGCGGGCGGGUUUUUCCUGCUUCUGGAAACCGCUGAGCAGUCCCGUCGUUGAGGGAACUGCGUCCCGCCAGACUCAGCCUCAAUUUAAGAGCACAGACUGGUGUGAGUCGGACAAGGGUCUUCACUGACUGGGCCAGGCUAAGUCUCCCCGGUAAAAAUGGGGCGAGAUGACCCGGCCUUCCAGGAGAACGCGUUCUCAGCGGCGCCUUCCCGAAUCCAUAGUGGACACUGCCUGAACUAACUCGCAGCACUCAUCUCCCAUUUUUAUCUCUUUCUGCCUUUUAUUCCUCCCCGUCGUCCUGCCUCGCUGAUCUCUAGGACAGGUGCUGUGAGUGGAAGUUGAACUGGGUAUUUCGUCUCCCACUCCCCAGUUGUCCCGUCUACUCAGCAGUGAGCCUCAGCUGCCUAUUGGAGUCGGGUUGCAUUGGAGCCGUUAAAAAAAGUGAUGCUUGGCCGCCACCCCAAGCCUAUGAAAGCUUCCCAGUUCACCAAGAUGAUGUCAGUAUAUCUAGUGAGAUGUAGCACACCCCCUUCAGUCCUUCUGCUUCUAGAAGAGAAGCUGGAUUGCACAGGCACUAAGUACAGAAGCUAAUGGAACCCGGAAAGACAAGACAAAAAGACCAGAAAGGGUUGAGAACAUCUAAGAGGCUCUUGAUAGGAUGGCAAGCUUCUGUGAAAAUCCCACUGCCCUUGUCUUAGUUUUCAUACCAAAAAAAAUCUCUUGACUCAAAUAUAUGAAAAGUAGUCAACAUUUCUAUGUGGCCACAGGAGAGCCUGAAGCUGAAUAAUUUCAUGUCUGCAAGGUGCUGGCAGUGCACCCCAAAUUUUCCACAAUACCUUCUACACAAUAAAUGACCAAGAAAUGUUUGCUUAUCA
rnacentral:lncRNA from 1 species